rnacentral:rRNA from 1 species
AUGCAGGCUACUGUUCAAGGAGUACAGGCAAUUAAAUCUAUUUUGCAAGCAUAUGAGGAAAGCUCAGGACAAGUUAUUAACAGAGAAAAGUCCUCGGUGAUGUUUAGUGCUAAUGCAAAACAAGGGAUUAAAAAUAUGUUGCUGCAGGAAUUACAAUUGGGGGCUAAGACCAAUGAAGGAAAAUAUUUGGGAUUGCCCACUUACAUUGGCAAGUCGGUGAAGAAGUGCUUUGCAUAUUUGAAGGAUAGUAUUUUGAGCAGAUUGCAGGGAGGGAUGAAAAGAUGCUUGUCCAUGGCAGGUAAAGAAGUCUAUGUUAAAGCUAUCGCUCAAGCUAUCCCGACCUACGCAAUGGCUUGUUUUGAUCUAUCUAAGUCUCUCUGUGAUGAGAUCAGCCGAUUUAUAUGCCGAUAUUGGUGGAGUCAGCAAGCCGAUGAAAGGAAGAUGCAUUGGAUUGGAUGGGAGAAAAUGAAGUUAUCAAAAGAGGAAGGUGGACUGGGCUUCCGUGAUCUGCACUCUUUCAAUAUGGCCAUGUUAGCACGGCAGGGGUGGAGACUCAUACAAGCCCCGGAUUCACUUUGUGCACAAGUGCUACGAGCCAAGUAUUACCCUUCUGGCAAUGUUCUAGCUGCUGAACCUAUCAUUGAAAUGAGUUAUGUGUGGCGCAGUAUUCUCAAAGGUUUAGAGGUGCUGAAGGAAGGGAUAAUCUGGCGUAUUGGUGACGGGACGAAGGUGAGGAUCUGGGAGGAUCCGUGGAUCCCCAGAGGUGCAACUCGUAUGCCUGCAUCGUACCAAGGUGCAAAUCUUCUGUCAAGGGUUUCAGAAUUGAUGGACCCGGACACUGGAAGCUGGGACCGCGGCCUAGUUGAGGGAUGUUUUCAUGCUGAUGAUGUCCAGGCAUUUUUAAGCAUACCAAUCUGUGACCAAGCUGAUGAUUUUGUGGCGUGGCAUUUCAAUAGUAAAGGUUGUUUUUCAGUUAAAUCUGCUUAUAAAGUACUCCCUCUGUUCGGAAUUACCUGUCUCGGAAAUAGAUGUAUCUAG